AAAGUAUCAUCUGUUGUAAAAAUUGCAUAAAUCUUUUUUGGUUUAAGUGUUGCUUUUAAUAUGCGUUCUACAUUCUCUUUUGUAAAUGUUGCUUCCCUAAUGUAUUUUCUUAGUUUAUUUUUGAAAGGUAUUAUUAUUUACUGUCCGUUGUCUGUCCUCCCUGCAAUACCAUUUGUAAAUUAAAAUUAUUUAUCGGUUUUUCUGUUAUUGGUAUCUGUAUGUUAGUUAUUGUAUUCGUUGCGAUGUCCUUAGUUUGUGUGUACCUCAUGAUCAAUUCUAUUAAGCGUAUCCGCUAUAACGUUCUGUAAGCCUUUUUUAUAUAUUAUGUCGAAAUCGUAUUCCAUUAAUUGUAUUUUCCAUCUUAAUAUUUUUAAACUUGGCUCCUUAAAAUUCAUUAACCACGUUAACGGCUUAUAAUCUGUGACAAUUGAGAAUUUGUUCCCAUAAAGAUACGGUCGAAAAUAUUUAACCGCCCGCCCAUAUGAUGGCUAACAUUUCUUUUUCUAUUGUUGAAUAAUUUGUCAUUGUCAUUGUUUAGAGAGCCCUGGGAUAAUACUGCUCCAAAAGCAAAAUUACUAGCGUCGGUUGUUAAAAUAAAAGGCUUGUCGAAUUCCGUAUAUUUUAAAAUUGGGUCGUUAGUCAGUAAUGUUUUACAUACUUCAAAUGCUUCUAGAAAUUCUGCAUUGAAUUGUAUUGGUUUUUUCCCUUUUAAUUGUUUAAUUAUUGGCAUCGUUAUUCGGGCGAAGUCUCGAAUAAACUUUCUGUAAUAUCCUAGUACUCCUAAAAAUGAUUUUAUCGUCUUUCUGGGCAUGGAAAAUCUUUUAUAAUCAGAAUUUUAUUCGGGUUAGGUUUUACUCCCUCCUGUGUGACUACGUGUCCUAAAAACUCCACUUCUUUCCUUAAAACUCUGACUUAUUCAGUUGUACCUUAAAAUUUGCUUCUCUAAGUCUUUGGAACACGGUUUUCAAAUUUGAUAUAUGCUAUUGCAGGGAUUGUGAAAAUAUAAUGAUAUCAUUAAAAUACACUAAACAUAUUUUACCAACCAGGUCUUUUAGUACGCUGUCCAUUACUCUUUGAAAAGUCGCUGGUGCGUUUUUCAGACCGAACGGCACUCUAACAUACUCAAAAUGACCGCCUUCUACUGUGAAAGCUGUUUUUGGGUAUUGAUUCUAUUGCUUGUUCAACAUACACUAGUCGAUCAGUAUCUGUGUAAUUCGACACCUCCAAAUUACUGAUGCCGUUUUCGUGUGAAAUUUAAAUAAUAAGACCAGCUUUGGAACAAAGGAUCGUACGGAAAGAGGACAGAGAGACGAAACCCAAUCUGGAAAAGAAGAAGAAGAAGAAAAGGAAGAAGUGGAUAUAUUAUAUUUCAUACAAGUUCAUACAAGUUAAAAUAAGAAACAAAGCGCUAACUAAUAAUAACUGCAAAACUAGAGGAUCAAGACAAAUACGAAGACGAAGGCAAAAAGAGCCCUAUUAUUAUUGACACUGGAGAGGAUUUCGUUGUAAUAAAUAAUGAUUAGUCUCACCAAUUCAUCUUGCGACGUGUGAAAUAUAUAAAAAGACUAUGAUUCUUGGAUUAUGUCCGCCAUUUCGUGCCUUAAAAAAUAAAUUUUGCAAUAAACAGAUUUCGUAUUUUUAUUAAUUUUUUUUUAAAUCUAAUUCUCUUAUUCCGAAAAUGGAUGUUUUUAAUCGCAUUAGUUAUAAUAAUUUACUUCUAUAUGUUUUAAUAAUUUAUUAUAUUAAUUAAUUAAAAUUACAAGAAUGUAAAUGACCGAUUUUCAGUACCGAUUAUUACAUAUAUUACAUUUUAUUAAUGAUGAACAUAAAUAUAUAAAAGUGUAUGCAGCAAAACCAAUGUGUGGCCGUUACGCAUCUUGUUAUUUUAAUGUCUUUGCUCGUACCUACACCUUUGGCUUGGCAUUCUGCUGCGCGCUUUGCAAUCAAUUUAAUACUCGCUUUCGCAACUUAUGCAUGAGCGCAUCGCUACCAAAACUUCGCAAAACAAAAUAAACCAAAAUCGUUUGAAUUCGCUACAAAAUAAAACCGUCUUUUUAUUUUCGCAAAAAUAGCUAAUAAAAAAGCUUGUGAUCUUAGUAUUUUGAUUACCCCGACGUGCAUUAUACAUUAAAAAAAUCAUACAAAGCUGUUUAAAGCUUUAGCUUUUAUUAAUUAGAUUCGUGUCUGCAAUAUUCAGACAAAAUUAAUAGCAGUGAACAUUAAAAUUUACUUCGUUGGUUACGCAAGUUUUCAUAUUCAAAAAGAGUAAUAUUUGAGCGCUUACAAACGCUUUAUUAUAACGGAAUAACCGAAUUUGUUUUUGUUGUUGUUGCCAUGACUGCGGAAAAUUCUGGAAACAUUACUACUGAUGCGAACAGCGCGAUAUUUUUGACGUGCAAGUCGACGCACAGUGGCGUUUUAGAUACUUUAGGGUUACAAAAAUAUAUUUCGAAAUUUUUUGUA